AUGAACGCUGGCGGCGUGCCUAAUACAUGCAAGUCGCGCGAACAGACGAGGAGCUUGCUCCUCUGACGUUAGCGGCGGACGGGUGAGUAACACGUGGAUAACCUACCUAUAAGACUGGGAUAACUUCGGGAAACCGGAGCUAAUACCGGAUAAUAUAUUGAACCGCAUGGUUCAAUAGUGAAAGACGGUUUUGCUGUCACUUAUAGAUGGAUCCGCGCCGCAUUAGCUAGUUGGUAAGGUAACGGCUUACCAAGGCGACGAUGCGUAGGCGACCUGAGAGGGUGAUCGGCCACACUGGAACUGAGACACGGUCCAGACUCCUACGGGAGGCAGCAGUAGGGAAUCUUCCGCAAUGGGCGAAAGCCUGACGGAGCAACGCCGCGUGAGUGAUGAAGGUCUUCGGAUCGUAAAACUCUGUUAUUAGGGAAGAACAAAUGUGUAAGUAACUAUGCACGUCUUGACGGUACCUAAUCAGAAAGCCACGGCUAACUACGUG
rnacentral:rRNA from 1 species